rnacentral:rRNA from 1 species
UUGAUCCUGGCUCAGAAUCAACGCUGGCGGCGUGCCUAACACAUGCAAGUCGAACGCGAAAGCCCCGCAAGGGGUAAGUAGAGUGGCAAACGGGUGAGUUACACGUGGGUGACCUGCCUUCGAGUGGGGGAUAACGUCCCGAAAGGGACUCUAAUACCGCAUGACAUCCUGCUCUUGGACGAGCGGAGAUCAAAGCUGGUGAUCGCAAGACCUGGCGCUUGAAGAGGGGCCCGCGCCUGAUUAGCUAGUUGGUGAGGUAACGGCUCACCAAGGCUACGAUCAGUAUCCGGCCUGAGAGGUCGGACGGACACACUGGGACUGAGACACGGCCCAGACUCCUACGGGAGGCUGCAGUGGGGAAUUGUUCGCAAUGGGCGCAAGCCUGACGACGCAACGCCGUGUGGAGGAUGAAGAUCUUCGGGUCGUAAACUCCUGUCGAGUGGAAAGAAUAGCUUCCGGGCGAAUAUCCCGGAAGCCUGACGGUACCACUAAAGGAAGCUCCGGCUAACUCCGUGCCAGCAGCCGCGGUAAUAAGGU